rnacentral:rRNA from 1 species
GACGAACGCUGGCGGCGUGCCUAAUACAUGCAAGUAGAACGCUGAAGGAGGAGCUUGCUUCUCUGGAUGAGUUGCGAACGGGUGAGUAACGCGUAGGUAACCUGCCUGGUAGCGGGGGAUAACUAUUGGAAACGAUAGCUAAUACCGCAUAAGAGUAGAUGUUGCAUGACAUUUGCUUAAAAGGUGCAGUUGCAUCACUACCAGAUGGACCUGCGUUGUAUUAGCUAGUUGGUGGGGUAACGGCUCACCAAGGCGACGAUACAUAGCCGACCUGAGAGGGUGAUCGGCCACACUGGGACUGAGACACGGCCCAGACUCCUACGGGAGGCAGCAGUAGGGAAUCUUCGGCAUUGGACGGAAGUCUGACCGAGCAACGCCGCGUGAGUGAAGAAGGUUUUCGGAUCGUAAAGCUCUGUUGUAAGAGAAGAACGAGUGUGAGAGUGGAAAGUUCACACUGUGACGGUAGCUUACCAGAAAGGGACGGCUAACUACGUG